rnacentral:sRNA from 1 species
AGGUGUGUGCCACUACAACCCUGACAGCAACAUCUGUCACUCCCUUGGUCACGAGGGUUAAUUUGACUGAUCUGGCUGGCUAGCCUGGUGUCCCCUUCCUUCCUCACCACUCCUUGUGCGUCAUUCCAGAAGCUGCGCCUCCCCGGUGACGAGGAAGACCCGCCUUUGGUUUUUCUUUGGAAGAGAGCAGGAGUAUGCUGCUCUGUGCACACCAAGGUCAAGGACAAUCUCUCUCGUCAUCAUCUGUCACUACGA